GACGAACGCUGGCGGCGUGCUUAACACAUGCAAGUCGAACGGUGAAGCGCCUUCCUUUUUGGUGGGUGUGGAUGAGUGGCGAACGGGUGAGUAACACGUGAGUAACCUGCCCCCUUCUUCUGGAUAACCGCAUGAAAGUGUGGCUAAUACGGGAUAUUCUGGGUCUGUCGCAUGAUGGGUCUGGGAAAGAUAUUGUUUCGGUGGGGGAUGGUCUCGCGGCUUAUCAGCUUGUUGGUGUGGUGAUGGCCUACCAAGGCGGUGACGGGUAGCCGGCCUGAGAGGGUGGGCGGUAACACUGGGACGGCGACACGGAGACGACUACGAGGGGCGGCAGCAGUGGGUAUUAGUGCACGAGGGGCGCAAGGCUGAUGCAGCGCCGCGUCGGGAGGGAUGGAGGCCUGCUGGUUGUGAACCUCUUUCGCGAGUGAAGCAGGCCUGCCUCGUGUGUGGGUGUUUUGACGGUAGCUGGAGAAGAAGCGCCGGCUAACUACGUG
rnacentral:rRNA from 1 species